UACGUAGGGUGCGAGCGUUGUCCGGAAUUAUUGGGCGUAAAGGGCUCGUAGGCGGUUUGUUGCGUCGGGAGUGAAAACUCAGGGCUUAACCCUGAGCCUGCUUCCGAUACGGGCAGACUAGAGGUAUGCAGGGGAGAACGGAAUUCCUGGUGUAGCGGUGAAAUGCGCAGAUAUCAGGAGGAACACCGGUGGCGAAGGCGGUUCUCUGGGCCUGUACUGACGCUGAGGAGCGAAAGCGUGGGGGAGCAAACAGG
rnacentral:rRNA from 1 species